CUUGGAUUGUCGUAUAUGCUUUCUCAUCUCAUAAUAAUAUAUUUAUAUAUAAUAUAUUAAACUUAUCAAAAAUACUUAUUUAGGUGUGCGCAGCUGAAACACUGAACACGAACAUAUGAAUUUAUAUGGGUUCGAAUUUUCGCCAUUCAAUGCAGACUUAAAAUUAUUCAGAGUCUUUGCCGUCACCGUUAAAUCUGACAGGUUAUUCC
rnacentral:lncRNA from 1 species